rnacentral:rRNA from 1 species
CCAACGGGAGGCAGCAGUGGGGAAUAUUGGGCAAUGGGCGCAAGCCUGACCCAGCAACGCCGCGUGAAGGAAGAAGGCUUUCGGGUUGUAAACUUCUUUUGACAGGGAAGAGCAGAAGACGGUACCUGUCGAAUAAGCCACGGCUAACUACGUGCCAGCAGCCGCGGUAAUACGUAGGUGGCAAGCGUUGUCCGGAUUUACUGGGUGGAAAGGGCGUGUAGCCGGGCUGACAAGUCAGAUGUGAAAUCCGGGGGCUCAACCCCCGAACUGCAUUUGAAACUGUUGGUCUUGAGUAUCGGAGAGGCAGGCGGAAUUCCUAGUGUAGCGGUGAAAUGCGUAGAUAUUAGGAGGAACACCAGUGGCGAAGGCGGCCUGCUGGACGACAACUGACGGUGAGGCGCGAAAGCGUGGGGAGCAAACAGGAUUAGAUACCCGAGUAGUC